rnacentral:rRNA from 1 species
CCUACGGGAGGCAGCAGUGAGGAAUAUUGGUCAAUGGACGAGAGUCUGAACCAGCCAAGUAGCGUGAAGGACGACUGCCCUAUGGGUUGUAAACUUCUUUUAUAUGGGAAUAAAAUGUUCCACGUGUGGGAUUUUGUAUGUACCAUAUGAAUAAGGAUCGGCUAACUCCGUGCCAGCAGCCGCGGUAAUACGGAGGAUCCGAGCGUUAUCCGGAUUUAUUGGGUUUAAAGGGGGCGUAGGUGGAUUGUUAAGUCAGUUGUGAAAGUUUGCGGCCCAACCGUAAAAUUGCAGUUGAAACUGGCAGUCUUGAGUACAGUAGAGGUGGGCGGAAUUCGUGGUGUAGCGGUGAAAUGCUUAGAUAUCACGAAGAACUCCGAUUGCGAAGGCAGUUCACUGGACUGCAACUGACACUGAGGCUCGAAAGUGUGGGUAUCAAACAGGAUUAGAUACCCCGGUAGUC